rnacentral:rRNA from 1 species
GAUGAACGCUGGCGGCGUGCCUAAUACAUGCAAGUCGAACGCAUAGCGAAAGGUGCUUGCACCUUUCAAGUGAGUGGCGAACGGGUGAGUAACACGUGGACAACCUGCCUCAAGGCUGGGGAUAACAUUUGGAAACAGAUGCUAAUACCGAAUAAAACUUAGUGUCGCAUGACACAAAGUUAAAAGGCGCUUCGGCGUCACCUAGAGAUGGAUCCGCGGUGCAUUAGUUAGUUGGUGGGGUAAAGGCCUACCAAGACAAUGAUGCAUAGCCGAGUUGAGAGACUGAUCGGCCACAUUGGGACUGAGACACGGCCCAAACUCCUACGGGAGGCUGCAGUAGGGAAUCUUCCACAAUGGGCGAAAGCCUGAUGGAGCAACGCUGCGUGUGUGAUGAAGGCUUUCGGGUCGUAAAGCACUGUUGUAUGGGAAGAACAGCUAGAAUAGGAAAUGAUUUUAGUUUGACGGUACCAUACCAGAAGGGGACGGCUAAAUACGUG